AAGACCUCACGUUAUUGGAGUGGCCUACGGCUGAUUAGCUAGUUGGUGAGGUAAAGGCUCACCAAGGCGACGAUCAGUAGCUGGUCUGAGAGGAUGAUCAGCCACACUGGAACUGAGACACGGUCCAGACUCCUACGGGAGGCAGCAGUGGGGAAUUUUGGACAAUGGGGGCAACCCUGAUCCAGCCAUUCCGCGUGAGUGAAGAAGGCCUUCGGGUUGUAAAGCUCUUUCAGCAGGGAAGAAACGGUUACGGCCAAUACCCGUGACUAAUGACGGUACCUGCAGAAGAAGCACCGGCUAACUACGUGCCAGCAGCCGCGGUAAUACGUAGGGUGCGAGCGUUAAUCGGAAUUACUGGGCGUAAAGCGUGCGCAGGCGGUUUUGUAAGUCAGAUGUGAAAGCCCCGGGCUCAACCUGGGAAUU
rnacentral:rRNA from 1 species